CUGGUUUCGGCGUUUAUUAGUCAUUAAAGAAAGGCAGAUAUGCAAUUGAUUGCAAAAUCCCCCCUCAUUCAAACUACAAAAAGGAGGUCAAAUAUAAACACAGUGGAGAUCAUAAGCUCAAGUCAACUAAUGUUUCUAGGUGCAUAAGUACUUCUACAAUAGAAUCAACAAGUAGUUUAUGGAGAAAAUUUCUCUUAAGAUCAUUUUCUUGAUCCUCUUCUCAAUUGUUGCGUUUGGUUAGUCUUCCUCGUAUCUUUAUCCAUAUUACUUAAUUAUGGUUUUGUUGGUAUCGAUCUAAUCAUCAUAACGUUAGUUUUGAUUACCAGGGAAGUCCCUAGCAGUUGAAGCAAAAGAUGUUCCAUGUUCCAGUGAACGAGACUGCAUCAAAGCCCGCUUCGAUUGUGGGGGUAUGCCUAUUGGUUGUUUUGAUCAUAAGUGCGGAUGCGUAAUUGGUCCAGAAACAACAUCAUCGCCUAUGAAGCUGGACCCUUUACUCUGUCGCACCGACAGCAACUGCCAAAAUUUUCGAUGUAUUCUAACAAUUCCAGUAAGCAUGAAACCAAAGUGUAUUAGUAACAGAUGUGAAUGCCGCGAAGGAAUUUGAUGUCAUUCCAUCAUUUAAUAUUUAAAUAAAAUUUCUACUUAAAAAUCUAUAUGCUGUUAUAUAUAUUUUUUAAGAAAAAUAAUUUUUCUGUCCA
rnacentral:lncRNA from 1 species